UGCGCGGCGGGCCGCGGUCCAGUGCGAUUCCCCGUUCUGCGGGGGCGGGGUCCGUGCGGGGUUCCGUGCGGGGUUCCGUGCCGGGCCGCGCGUC
rnacentral:tRNA from 1 species